rnacentral:rRNA from 1 species
AGUGAACGCUGGCGGCAGGCCUAACACAUGCAAGUCGAACGGCAGCACAGGAGAGCUUGCUCUCUGGGUGGCGAGUGGCGGACGGGUGAGGAAUAUAUCGGAAUCUACCCUUUCGUGGGGGAUAACGUAGGGAAACUUACGAUAAUACCGCAUACGAACUGAGGUUGCAAGCGGCGGACCGCAAGGCGUCGCGCGGAUGGAUGAGCCGAUAUCCGAUUAGCUAGUUGGCGGGGUAAAGGCCCACCAAGGCGACGAUCGGUAGCUGGUCUGAUGGUAUGAGCAGCCACACUGGAACUGAGACACGGUCCAGACUCCGACGGGAGGCAGCAGUGGGGAAUAUUUGACAAUGGGCGCAAGCCUGAUCCAGCCAUGCCGCGUGUGUGAAGAAGGCCUUCGGGUUGUAAAGCACUUUUGUUGGGAAAGAAAAGCGGUCGGUUAAUACCCGGUCGUUCUGACGGUACCCAAAGAAUAAGCACCGGCUAACUUCGUGCCAGCCGCCGCUGUAAGAC